GACCACGCACCAUGUCAAGGAAUCAGUCCCUCUGACAAACGCCUGCUUCAGAACCCUAGAAAGGGGACAGAGGUGCAGCGUGGAUUCCAUUUCUUUCAGGAAUCUAGUAAACUAGACUAGCUUUUGAGCAAAUCAAUUGGAAUAGAGGACAGAUGCAAACCACCUAUGCAAUCACCUAGCUAAGUGAUAUUUGCAGCCAAAAGGAAAUGCACUUUUCCUCUCCUUCCAGGUAAUGUGUAUGUAAAUACAGAAACCGUUGAUCAUCCUGUCCCUCAGGACCAAGCGAGUACUUAAUAACAAACACCUCCCUUCUGGAGAAGCAGCGACGGUUUCCGCCCGGCCACUCCGCACGGCUCCCAAACUUCCUCCCGCCGGCCCGGCGGGGCGUGGGGACAAACGCAGGGCGGCAUUCCCUCCCGAUACCAAGGCGGCGGGUGCCGGCCGCCAGGACCCCGUGGGCCCGGGGAGGUGGCGGCCGGCGCCACAAGGUCACCGCCCUUUGCACAACCCGAGCCCGGACCGUCCCAGCGCGCGUCUCGUGACUACUGGGCGCAGCACCCCCUGUCCUCGAGGCGAGCCGAGCGGCGCCGGGGAUCGCGGGGCACUGCCGGGGGAAGCCGGAGAGGUGGGACCCCAGGCCCCGCGGGGCCUGGUGCUGCGUCGGCACAGAGGAUGGCAACUAUGUAAAGGAGUGGUGUCCCUAGCCACAAGCCCCUCGCACCCGCUCCAUAAUGGGCUUCUCCAGCCUUUUUUGUUUAAGCGAUGAAGAAAGAGGUGACAUGUGAAAACUUUUCUGUAGGGAAGAUCCUUCCCUCUGUGAGUAUGUAGGGUGGGGCGGGGGGAGGGGGCAGAGCGAGGAGUGUGAGGCUAUGAGCCCCUUGAGAUCAAAGAGGUUGUGUGUGUUUUCCUCUCUGCAUCCCCAGCAUCUUAAAAAGUAGGUACUCAGUUAAUGUUUGUCCUUGAAGAAAUUCUUUGUGCCUUUUGUACUCCUCCUCGAGUUUAUCCUGACAGAACAGAGAUUACUCUGGAACCAGAGUAUACAAAUUGUUGGAAGCAUCCUAAGAAUGACCAUUUCCUUCUAAAAUGUAGUUGGUAAAUAUUGCUAACAGUAUUUAGCAGUAAUUUGAAUAUGCAAAUUAAGGUGCUAUGAGAACUCUCUUGACUGUGUUGUGUGAUAUUUUGCUCUCAUCCAUUGUGAAGCCAGUGAAACUCAGUGUCUAAGGUGCCCACACUCAUAACUUCUCAGAUGUGUUAUCUUUGUAACCUUAAAAUUGUCCUUCCCUGAGAUGGUAUAGGAUGAGGGGAACUAAAGGUGGAUAAUUUGUAGCCAUUGUUGAAUGACCAGACAGGUGUUGAUGCCUAGGGAACGGGUAGCAUAAUCUCACAUAGCAGCAAGCCUAAAUAGCUGUAUUUAAAGUACCUUGGGGAAUAGGGCCUGGAGAGUAAUAGGACUCAGGUAGACCACACUGGACUUCCCUGUUGUAAAUGACUUUGCAAUGUUUUAAAUAAACAUGAGCAGCUAUCUUUCCCAGUAAGAAACCAUCCUGUCUGUGUAGGGUGACAGUAGCAGAGUCAGGGUGGCAGCAUGCCUUUUUUUUUUUUUAAAGAUCCAGCAGGGGGUCUUCCCUGGUAGUGCAGUGCUUAAGAAUCCUCCUGCCAAUGUAGGGGACACGUGUUUGAGCCCUGGUCUGGGAAGAUCCCACAUGCCUCAGAGCAACUAAGCCUGUGCACCACAACUACUGAGCCUACGCUCUAGAGCCUGCAAGCCACAACUACUCAGCCUGCGCCCCACAACUACUAAAGUCCAUGCACCUAGAGCCUGUGCUCCACAACAAGAGAAGCCACCGCAAUGAAAAGCCUGCACAUUGCAAUGAAGAGUAGCCCCUGCUCGCCACAACUAGAAAAAUCCCGUGUGCAGCAAUGAAGACCCAACACAGCCAAAAAUAAAAUAAAAAAUAAAUAAGUAAAUUUGUAUUAAAAAAAAAACAAUCCAGCAAAAUAGCCAUGGCAACAAUCAAGAAAGCUUGAGUAGGACCCCAGUGUUCAUUGCAGCACUAUUUACAAUAGCCAGGACAUGGAAGCAACCUUAAUGUCCAUCAACAUAAGAAUGGAUAAAGAAGAUGUGGUACAUAUAUACAAUGGAAUAUUACUCAGCCAUAAAAAGGAAUGAAAUUGUGCAAUUUGCAGAGAUGUGGAUGGACCUAGAGACUGUCAUACAGAGUGAAGUAAGUCAGAAAGAGAAAAAUAUACUAUAAUAUCACUUAUAUGUGGAAUCUAGAAAAAUGAUACAGGUGAACUUAUUUGUGAAGCAGAAAUAGAGACACAGAGGUAAGGAACAGACGUAUGGAUACCAGGGGAGGUGGGAUGAAUUGGGAGAUUGGAAGUGACAUAUAUACACUACUAUGUAUAAAAUAGAUAACUAAUGAGAGCCUACUGUAUACCACACAGAACUCUACUCAGUGCUCUGUGGUAACCUAAAUGGGAAGGAAAUCCAAAAAAGAGUGGAUAUAUGUAUACGUAUGGCUGAUUCACUUUUCUGUACAGCAGAAACUAACACAACAUUGUAAAGCAACUAUACCCCAAUAAAAAAUAAUAAAAAAAGAAAAAAUAAAAAGAAAGCUUGAGUAGGGACUUCCCUGGUGGUCCAGUGGUUAAGAAUCCACCUCCCAAUGCAGGGGACGCAGGUUCGAUCCCUGGUCAGGGGACUAAGAUCCCAUAUGCCAUGGGGCAACUAAGCCCCUGUGCCAAAACUACUGAGCCCACACGCCACUACGGAGCCCACGUGCUCUGGAGCCCAUGCACCACAACUAGAGAGAACCCUGCACACUGCAACAAAGAGCCCGUGCAUCGCAACAAAGAUCCCACGUGCCACAACUAAGACCCAAUACAGCCAAAAAUAAAUAAAUUAAUUAAUUAAAUAAACAUGAGAAAAAAGAAAGAGCAUCUCAUCACAAGAAAAACAAUUUAAAAAAAAAAGAAAGAACGUUUGAGUAGCCCAAACCUUCUCUAAGGUUUGCCUUAGAGAAGACCUCAAACAGAUAAUAUCAGAAGAGGAGGUUUGUGAGGGCUCAGAUAAAUGCAUCUCUCCCCUUCGUCUGGCUCAGUGUACCCAUACACACAUUUUAUCUCCCUAGUGGGGUAUUUGGGGAUUAAGGAUCAGUCUGUCCCUCCUCUGCACAUCCAGUACGGAGAUGUGUGAUGUUCUUCUAAGUGCAAGAUUCUCGGGAACUCCACAGAUACUUUCCUUUUCCAGGUAAAAAGUUGCUAUAGUAAAGAGCUUCCUGUUAGGAUCACCUUUAUCCUGGGUGACAGUUUUACAAAGCCUCAGUCAUUCUGUCCUCAUGUUUCUCCCAGCUCUUCCACUCCAGGGCUCUUACUGUAACCAAGAAGGGGAAUUGUGAAGUCUUGAAGCAGGAAGUCAGACGGCAACUGUGGGGUUUAGAAAAGUAGAGUGACACAAUUUAGGGCACAUAGCAUGUUAUUGGCAGUGCUUGGACUAGAGCCCCAAAUUUCUGAUUCACAGUGUCCUUUUAUCCUUCCAUCAUCCAUCCAUCCAUCCAACAAAUACUCCUGAGUUCCUUUACGUCAGCGGCUCUCAAACUUGGCUGCACCUUGGAAUCACCAAGGGGGUUUUAAAAGGUACCAGUGCCUUGAAUGCUAGCCCCAGAGAUUCUGGUUUAAUUGAUCUGGAAAGAAGCAUGAAUACUGAAUUUUUUCCCUUGGAAUAUAUUGUUUAUAUAUAAAACAAUACAGGUAUAUGUACGUGGGCAACACAGUAGUAACUACAGUGACUACAUUAUUAUUGUUUCUUUAUCAAUUACAGUGGCAUACAAAAUUUAAGAUUCCUAAACAAACUAAGAGUCUUUAAGUUAAAUGAGUUCUUCCUGAAAAUUCUUAGUUGUAUGCUGAUCUAUUCUCAUGCAGUAAAGUUUUACAACACACUACCCUGUAUGUAGCAUGUCACAUUUCUAUAGUAAAAAAUAGAGGCACAGAUGAUACAAGCAAACCUAACCCUCCUCUGCUUCUGGACACAACCCAGCACACACACACACACGGAAACACACACACUUGGAUGAGUUCUUCUAGUGCAUUUUCCCAAACGUGGUAGUUUUAUUAAAGAAUUCCAACAAUUUCCGUAAUUUUCACAACCACACUCUAUUCACUGCAUUACAAAGGACUUGACGAGGAUCCAGCUACACAGCAAUGAAUAAAUGCUUGAGAACAUCUCUUACAUUCUGUAUCUCCUGCAGAAAAUGAUAUCUAACAUUUUCUUGGUAAAAUGAUUGGGGAGGCAAGUGGAUUUUUAAAGCUUCACAGGUGAUUUUGAUGAGCGGCCAAUUUGACAACCACUCUCUCUGUGCCAAAGACUCGUUCCUGGUGCUGGAGAUACUGCAGUUAGCAAACCAGACAAGAUGAUGACAGAAAUUAAACAUGUAAAUUAAUAAGAUAGUAUUGGAGUUUAAGAAAAAAAAAUGUCAUGAAGAACCUAGGGGUAAGACAGGAAUAAAGACACAGACCUACUAGAGAAUGGACUUGAGGAUAUGGGGAGGGGGAAGGGUAGCUGUGACAAAGUGAGAGUGGCAUGGACAUAUAUACACUACCAAACGUAAAAUAGAUAGCUAGUGGGAAGCAGCCGCAUAGCACAGGGAGAUCAGUUCGGUGCUUUGUGACCACCCAGAGGGGUGGGAUAGGGAGGGUGGGAGGGAGGGAGACGCAAGAGGGAAGAGAUAUGGGAACAUAUGUAUAUGUAUAACUGAUGCACUUUGUUAUAAAGCAGAAACUAACACACCAUUGUAAAGCAAUUCUACUCCAAUAAAGAUGUAAAAAAAAAAUAGUAUUGGAUACAAAUAAGUGUUCUUCACGAAAAAGAAACAGUGUAACGUGAUAGGGAAUCUUUGGAGUCAGAGGCUCUUUUAGAUCUGUCAUCAUGUACAUCUUUUAGAUGAAGGGGGCAGUAUAGGGCUUUCAGGUGCCAUUUGAAGGGAGACCCAAAUCUUAAGAAGGUGCCAUGGGAAGAUCUCCUUCCAGGCAGAAGGAGCAUCUAGGGUGUUCUGGACAACCUCUCUUUGCCUCUCCAGACCCACUCUUACCCCUCUCACCUUGCUUGCCGCUAUACAAAGCUGGCCAGUAAGGGUCCAUCAGCAGGACUUGGAGUACGGGUGCCUAGGAUGUGAGGAUCUGGAGUGUCGAUCCUGGGGUGGCAAGUUCUGGGGUGUGGGACCUGGAAAGUAGGGUAUCAAUAGUAAUUUGGCAAACUGUAUCAAGAACUUACAACAUAUCCUUGGAGGUGAUACUUCCAUUCUUAGGACUUACGCACAAAGAUCUUCAUCAUGAUGUUAUUUACGAGAGGAAAACCUGGAAACUAUGUAAAUAGCCCAUGAAAAGGGAAUGGGUAAAUACAUCAGAGUAUGUCCUUUUGGUGCAACAUCAUGUUGCCUGUAAAAAAACGUUCACUGCAGCAGGCCAGGAAAGAAAAGGGUAAGAGAUGAGGCUAUAUAAAUAUUAGCAAUGUCUGCCUGUCAAAAACUCAUUAAAACAUUUAAAAGGCAAACUGGAAAACUAUUCAUUACCAGUGGCAAGAUUUCUUGCAAAUGAGGAAGAAAAGUUUAAUAGAAAAAUGAGCCAAAGACUUGAAUAGGGAAUUACUCAAAGGAAUUGUCACUGUAUAUAUGAAAAAUAUUCUCAGCCUCACGUGAGUUAUAACCUUUGCACGGAAGUCAUAAUUAAUGUUUUGAGGACAUUGAACUAAUGCCAUAACACUCCCUCAUCAUUAAGGUUUUGCAAGGGUUUUUGGAGGGCAAUUUGGCAAAGUUAAUUUGUUACCAAAUAUCCAUUGAGUGCCUACUGUGUGCCAGGCAGGGAGAAGGGUUCUCAGUGGGGUUGGAAGUUGUGAUUCAGCACCCAAGGGGCAUGUGCAGUUUUCACAGUGACUGAGAGUCAUUACCAACAAUUUAGCACCCAGCCAUUGUGGAUGUCAAGUUUCCUGUAUUGAAUUUGAGUCAUAAGAAUUGCUUUGGCUGGACAAAGUGAGAGAGUGACAUGGACAUAUAUACACUACCAAACGUAAAAUAGAUAGCAAGUGGGAAGCAGCCUCAUAGCACAGGGAGAUCAGCUCGGUGCUUUUGACCACCUAGAGGGGUGGGAUAGGGAGGGUGGGAGGGAGGGAGACGCAAGAGGGAAGAGAUAUGGGAACAUAUGUAUAUGUAUAACUGAUUCACUUUGUUAUAAAGCAGAAACUAACACACCAUUGUAAAGCAAUUAUACUCCAAUAAAGAUGUUAAAAAAAAAAAUCAAGUAAUGUUUUGAAAAUUGAAAAAAAAAAAAAAGAAUUGCUUUGGCUGGAGGAAUGAGGGAAGAUACGAGACUGUGCCUGUUCUGGGUGGGGAGGCUAAGAGCCCUUCUGUUCAUUCCAACCGUUAUGAGAACACACCCAGGCAGCCACGGCUCCCUCUGCCUGGGUCCCUCCAUGAGAAACAGAGAAGGGAGAAGACCUGAGACCCAGCCCAACCAGCCCCAUGAGUGGGGUAUCAGUGUGAGCACUGAGAUUUGGCGGUUGUUUGCUGACAUCAUCAUCACAGCGUAGUCUGACUAAUGCACCACACAAGGGAGAAUUGUCUCUCCAGAUGCCACAAGCACCCCCAAACCUCUGACGGAAAAACACUGGGUACAGUAAGUGAACAAAAUGGAGCUGUGAGAUGAACGUGCACAGAAAAAUAAUACAUCAAAAUAAUACAACAAAAAUAAUACAGACUAAUACGACGAAAAGUAAUCACAUCAAAGAUACGUGACUGCAGGUGAAAUACGUGCCAUUCAAGGCAGGUUGAAAGGUGGGAUGAGAAGGACGAAUGGCUUUGGGUGGGAAGUCAGUGAGAUUUUCUCCAGGGAUAUCCAUUUAAGAGCUGGGGUGGAGUAAGAGACACCGCAAGGGAAAGCGUUUGGGGCUGAGGGAUGUGCGCGGGCAGAGCAGAGGGUACCUGGGUGAGCCUGAGGGACUGGACUUCAGAGAGCGGGAGGUGGAGGGGCCCCGCCCACGCAGGGCCUUGAGGCCCCCCCCCCCCACCCGCCCAAGGUGUUCGGAUUUCACCUAAGCACAAGGACAGCGAUCAGAGAGCUUGAAUAAAAAGUAUUUCAUAAGCACGUUCGUCUUGUCCCUGGAGUCAGUUCAUCCCUUGGUUCACAGAAAUGGACUUUGGGUUUCCAAUGUCCCCCAGUGACAAGACUGCUCAUGUAAAACUCCUACUACUGUUCAUGUUAUGGGGACUCAGUAAACAGCAACAGGCUAAACCCAGCCCUUACACCGUCUGGAAACGGUAGGGGAGGAAACAAUUGACUCAGGAAAUGUAUUUCUAAAUAAAGUGCGUUUAUGUAACGUUA